UAUAGAACUGCUCUCUGGCGUCAGUUUAAACACUCAGAGCUGUACUCCGCACGACGUGAUGAUGUCGGCGUCCAAGGCCCUAACAAUUGUUUUGCUGACGAUGACUAUCCUUUUCAUAACUCAGACAUCCUCCAUGUCAUCUUGCGGCGGCGCGUGUGUGCUGUACCAGAACGGAUGGGAGACAAGCUGCCCCCGUACUUGCAAAUGCGUUGUUCUCUACAAAGAUGCCUUUGGAAGCGGUAGAGGGACAUGCGAACGUGGUACCUAACUGGCAGCUGCAAUAGGGUGCUGCGUUUUUUUGGUCGGCUGCCCCAUUGAAUAAAGAAACAU
rnacentral:lncRNA from 1 species